UUUCCUGAUCCCCCCCGUAGUCUACGACAAAGCCUACGCAGAAUUCCAGAGACUCAAAGCGGAAGCAUAUGCUGAAAAGAAUCGUGGCAAAGUGGUUGGUGGUCUUCCUGAUGUUGUGACUAUCAUGGAAAAGAAG